UCACGCCCGAAGUCAUUACCUCAACCGCAAGGAGGGGGAUGCCUAAGGCAGGGCUAGUGACUGGGGUGAAGUCGUAACAAGGUAGCCGUACCGGAAGGUGUGGCUGGAUCACCUCCUUUUAGGGAGACCUAAUCCAUUUAGAAAUCGAAAACAAUGAAAAUUGUCAAUAGAAACUAAAGUGGUCUAACCUAGGUCGUUCGAGAUUGGUAGAUAUCUUUCAAAGUAUUAUUCGGCUUCGUUCAAAACCAUAUAUAAAUGGAAAAAGACAGCACCUAAUUGUCAAAGUUAGACUGCUGGAUGAAAUUCCAGCCAGAACCUUGAAAACUGCAUAAGAGAACGAGAAAAAGCAGGCAGACACAGACAUUUAGAUGGAUGUGGAAGCAAAGAAAAAUUGUGGUCAAGCUAAUAAGGGCUAAUGGUGGGUACCUAGGCACACAGAGG
rnacentral:misc_RNA from 1 species